rnacentral:lncRNA from 1 species
GGGCAUAGUGAAUAUGCUGCAUGGUCAAAUUGGUUUGUAUAAGUGGAAACUGACUGUAUGUGAGAACACCAUUCUGCAGACAUGUUUGGUGGCAUUUGAACUUCUAAAUAAGAGUUAAGCAAGCUUCCCUGAUUCUUCUGCCUUCAUUUGGAAACCUAUCAUCGGAAACAUCGAACUGGAAGAAAUGAAAUGCAGAGCUUGCUAUUCAAGAUUAUGGUUUACCAUGUGGUCAAGCUGCAUGUGGUACCUGGAGAGAAGCAGAUGAGAACUGAAGCUAAAUAUUCCUGCCUCAAUAUGCAUAGCCCAAAUUUUCUUAUGCAACUUGAUUUGGAGCAUAGUUUUUCUGGGUGCUCUCAUCCUCUAUCUCCAUGUGGAGACCUUCACCCUCACAAGAUGAGGCCCUUUGACUUUGGACUUCAGUCUCCAGAACUGACAAUGCUAGAGACAUCCUCUAACUCCUCUUCUUUAGACUUCCUGCAAAAUAAAGACGUCGAAAGCCAGUUUGGGACUGGUGAAAACCUUUGGAAAACUAUAAUUCCCAGCAAAGAUGGACUGGGAAAAAAUAUUUGCAAGGAAUAG